GCUAUACAGCUAGCUUACCCAAUGGGUAAAACUCACAACAUUUCUCUACCCAAAACAAAACCCCAAACAUUAAAACAAACCAUUUUACCGCCUAAGUACGGGUGACGGAAAAGGCAACUACACAAAUAAGCAAUAGAAAUAGUACCGCAAGGGAAAGCUGAAAGAGAAAUGAAACAACUCAUCAAAGCGACAAAAAGCAGAGAUUAAAACUCGUACCUUUUGCAUCAUGAUCUAGCCAGCAUACCCAAGCAAAGAGAACUGUAGUUUGACUCCCCGAAACUAAGUGAGCUACUCCGAGACAGCCUAAGAACUGGGCCAACCCGUCUCUGUGGCAAAAGAGUGGGAAGAUCUCCGAGUAGAGGUGACAGACCUACCGAACUUAGUGAUAGCUGGUUGCCCGAGAAAUGGAUAGAAGUUCAGCCUUAUCCCCCUCCAGUCACCGAUGUGCCACUACCUACUAGACACCCAAGAGAGACCGAUAAGAGUUAUUCAGAAGGGGUACAGCUCUUCUGAACCAGGACACAACCUUACACAGGAGGUUAAGGACCAUAGUCAACAAGGACAUCCGUUUCAGUGGGCCUAAAAGCAGCCACCUGAACAGAAAGCGUUAAAGCUCAGACGGAAAAUAUAAUCCUAUUAUCCCGCUAUACCACCCCCCACCCCCUAAUUUUACCGGGCCAUUUUAUGCCAAACAUAGAAGAGACUAUGCUAGAAUGAGUAACAAGAAGAACAGCCCUUCUCCCAGCACGUGUGUAAACCAGAUCGGACACCCCUCUGGAAAUUAACGAACUCAAUCAAAGAGAGCAGUGCGAAGUUAAAAAGAGACCAGGAAGGCCCCGCAUUCAAAUAAAUCGUUACCCCCACACAGGUGUGCUAAACUAGGGAAAGACAAAAAGGGAAGAAAGGAACUCGGCAAACAUAAGCCUCGCCUGUUUACCAAAAACAUCGCCUUCUGCCAAAAUCGACGUAUAGAAGGUCCUGCCUGCCCAGUGACUAUAGGUUCAACGGCCGCGGUAUUUUGACCGUGCAAAGGUAGCGCAAUCACUUGUCUCUUAAAUAGAGACCUGUAUGAAUGGCACGACGAGGGCUUAACUGUCUCUCCUCCCCAGUCAGUGAAAUUGAUCUGUCCGUGCAGAAGCGGACAUUAUACUGCAAGACGAGAAGACCCUAUGGAGCUUUAGACACAAGACCAACCAUGUUAAACCACUUAAAACAAAACAAGUGGAAACAGAGUGGUAAACCUUGGUCCGCCUGUCUUCGGUUGGGGCGACCGCGGGGCAAAGACAAACCCCCAUGUGGAAUGAACAAACCAUUUAGAGCUAAGAGACACAUCUCUAAGCCACAGAACAUCUGACCAAAAAUGAUCCGGACACCAGACCGAUCAACGAACCAAGUUACCCUAGGGAUAACAGCGCAAUCCUCUUCCAGAGUCCAUAUCGACAAGAGGGUUUACGACCUCGAUGUUGGAUCAGGACAUCCUAAUGGUGCAGCCGCUAUUAAGGGUUCGUUUGUUCAACGAUUAAAGUCCUACGUGAUCUGAGUUCAGACCGGAGUAAUCCAGGUCAGUUUCUAUCUGCAAUAGUUCUUUUUCCUAGUACGAAAGGACCGGAAAAAGGGGGCCUCCACCUCUGAUGCGCCCCACUUUUACCUGCUGACAUCAACUAAAGCAGGCAAAAAAGCUCACAACUCCCAGCCAAAGACAAAGGCUU
rnacentral:rRNA from 1 species